rnacentral:rRNA from 1 species
AUUGAACGCUGGCGGCAGGCUUAACACAUGCAAGUCGAGCGGGGUGAUGGUGCUUGCACUAUCACUUAGCGGCGGACGGGUGAGUAAUGCUUAGGAAUCUGCCUAUUAGUGGGGGACAACAUCUCGAAAGGGAUGCUAAUACCGCAUACGUCCUACGGGAGAAAGCAGGGGAUCACUUGUGACCUUGCGCUAAUAGAUGAGCCUAAGUCGGAUUAGCUAGUUGGUGGGGUAAAGGCCUACCAAGGCGACGAUCUGUAGUGGGUCUGAGAGGAUGAUCCGCCGCACUGGGACUGGGACACGGCCCAGACGCCUACGGGAGGCAGCAGUGGGGAAUAUUGGACAAUGGGGGGAACCCUGAUCCAGCCAUGCCGCGUGUGUGAAGAAGGCCUUAUGGUUGUAAAGCACUUUAAGCGAGGAGGAGGCUCUUUUGGUUAAUACCCAAGAUGAGUGGACGUUACUCGCAGAAUAAGCACCGGCUAACUCUGUGCCAGCAGCCGCCGCCGUAA